GGCCGGUGGCGGCGGCUACACAUGCAGUCGAACGGUAACAGGAAGCAGCUUGCUGCUUUGCUGACGAGUGGCGGACGGGUGAGUAAUGUCUGGGAAACUGCCUGAUGGAGGGGGAUAACUACUGGAAACGGUAGCUAAUACCGCAUAACGUCUUCGGACCAAAGAGGGGGACCUUCGGGCCUCUUGCCAUCGGAUGUGCCCAGAUGGGAUUAGCUUGUUGGUGGGGUAACGGCUCACCAAGGCGACGAUCCCUAGCUGGUCUGAGAGGAUGACCAGCCACACUGGAACUGAGACACGGUCCAGACUCCUACGGGAGGCAGCAGUGGGGAAUAUUGCACAAUGGGCGCAAGCCUGAUGCAGCCAUGCCGCGUGUAUGAAGAAGGCCUUCGGGUUGUAAAGUACUUUCAGCGGGGAGGAAGGGGAUGAGGUUAAUAACCUUGUCCAUUGACGUUACCCGCAGAAGAAGCACCGGCUAACUCCGUGCCAGCAGCCGCGGUAAUACGGAGGGUGCAAGCGUUAAUCGGAAUUACUGGGCGUAAAGCGCACGCAGGCGGCGUGUCAAGUCGGAUGUGAAAUCCCCGGGCUCAACCCGGGAACUGCAUUCGAAACUGGCAUGCUAGAGUCUUGUAGAGGGGGGUAGAAUUCCAGGUGUAGCGGUGAAAUGCGUAGAGAUCUGGAGGAAUACCGGUGGCGAAGGCGGCCCCCUGGACAAAGACUGACGCUCAGGUGCGAAAGCGUGGGGAGCAAACA
rnacentral:rRNA from 1 species